rnacentral:rRNA from 1 species
CCGCGUGUCUGAAGAAGGCCUCGGUUGUAAGGACUUUUGUCAGGGAAGCAAAACUUACUGGUUAAUACCUGGUGAGGUUGAGAGUACCUGAAGAAUAAGCACCGGCUAACUACGUGCCAGCAGCCGCGGUAAUACGUAGGGUGCAAGCGUUAAUCGGAAUUACUGGGCGUAAAGCGUGCGCAGGCGGACUUUUAAGCCAGAUGUGAAAGCCCCGAGCUUAACUUGGGAAUUGCGUUUGGAACUGGGAGUCUAGAGUCUGUCAGAGGGGGAUGGAAUUCCACGUGUAGCAGUGAAAUGCGUAGAGAUGUGGAGGAACACCGAUGGCGAAGGCAGUCCCCUGGGAUAAGACUGACGCUCAUGCACGAAAGCGUGGGGAGCAAACAGGAUUAGAUACCCUGGUAGUCCACGCCCUAAACGAUGUCUACUAGUUGUUGGGGUAGCAAUACCUCAGUGACGCAGCUAACGCGUGAAGUAGACCGCCUGGGGGAGUACGGUCGCAAGAUUAAAAACUCAAAAGGAAUUGACGGAGG